AACACGGGCCGUGACUGGCGCGCUGGGAUGGGACCGACCAUCGGGGAGCGGCCCCCGGGCCCGGGCGGGCCCGGCACGAGUGCCGUGCGCCUGGGCCGUACCG
rnacentral:ncRNA from 18 species